AGAGUUUGAUCCUGGCUCAGGACGAACGCUGGCGGCGUGCCUAACACAUGCAAGUCGAGCGAGGAACUUCGGUUCCUAGCGGCGGACGGGUGAGUAACACGUGGGUAACCUGCCUUGUAGAGGGGGAUAGCCUUCCGAAAGGAAGAUUAAUACCGCAUAACAUUGUUUCUUCGCAUGAAGAGACAAUCAAAGGAGCAAUCCGCUACAAGAUGGACCCGCGGCGCAUUAGCUAGUUGGUGAGGUAACGGCUCACCAAGGCGACGAUGCGUAGCCGGCCUGAGAGGGUGAACGGCCACAUUGGAACUGAGACACGGUCCAGACUCCUACGGGAGGCAGCAGUGGGGAAUAUUGCACAAUGGGCGAAAGCCUGAUGCAGCAACGCCGCGUGAGUGAUGAAGGCCUUCGGGUUGUAAAGCUCUGUCUUUUGGGACGAUAAUGACGGUACCAAAGGAGGAAGCCACGGCUAACUACGUGCCAGCAGCCGCAGUAAUACGUAGGUGGCAAGCGUUGUCCGGAUUUACUGGGCGUAAAGGAUGCGUAGGUGGAUAUUUAAGUGGGAUGUGAAAUACCCGGGCUUAACCUGGGUGCUGCAUUCCAAACUGGAUAUCUAGAGUGCAGGAGAGGUAAGUGGAAUUCCUAGUGUAGCGGUGAAAUGCGUAGAGAUUAGGAAGAACACCAGUGGCGAAGGCGACUUACUGGACUGUAACUGACACUGAGGCAUGAAAGCGUGGGGAGCAAACAGGAUUAGAUACCCUGGUAGUCCACGCCAUAAACUAUGGGUACUAGGUGUGGGAGGUAUC
rnacentral:rRNA from 1 species